CUUCCAGUAGCACCUUAGAGACCAACUAAGUUUGUUAUUGGUGUGAGCUUUUGUGUGCAUGCACACUUCUUAUCCGAACAAACUUAGUUGGUCUCUAAGGUGCUACUGGAAG